AUUGAACGCUGGCGGCAUGCUUUACACAUGCAAGUCGAACGGUAACAGGUUAAGCUGACGAGUGGCGAACGGGUGAGUAAUGCAUCGGAACGUGCCCGGUCGUGGGGGAUAACGCAGCGAAAGCUGCGCUGAUACCGCAUACGAUCUGAGGAUGAAAGCGGGGGACCGUAAGGCCUCGCGCGAUCGGAGCGGCCGAUGUCAGAUUAGGUAGUUGGGGGGGUAAAGGCUCACCAAGCCAACGAGCUGUAGCUGGUCUGAGAGGACGACCAGCCACACUAGGACUGAGACACGGCCCAGACUCCUACGGGAGGCAGCAGUGGGGAAUUUUGGACAAUGGGCGAAAGCCUGAUCCAGCAAUGCCGCGUGCAGGAAGAAGGCCUUCGGGUUGUAAACUGCUUUUGUACGGAGCGAAAAGGUCUCCUCUAAUACAGGGGGCUCAUGACGGUACCGUAAGAAUAAGCACCGGCUAACUACGUGCCAGCCGCCGCGGUAA
rnacentral:rRNA from 1 species